rnacentral:rRNA from 11 species
UGAAACAUCUAAGUACCCGGAGGAAAGGACAUCAAACGAGACUCCGUUAGUAGUGGCGAGCGAACGCGGACCAGGCCAGUGCUCUUAUCAAUCGAACUGGAACCGUCUGGAAAGUCGGGCCGCAGUGGGUGACAGCCCCGUACAGGUAGGAAAGAUAAGAGACUCGAGUAGGGCGGGACACGUGAAAUCCUGUCUGAACAUGGGGGGACCACCCUCCAAGCCUAAGUACUCCUUACCGACCGAUAGUGAACAAGUACCGUGAGGGAAUGAUGAAAAGAACCCCGAUGAGGGGAGUGAAACAGAUCCUGAAACCGGAUGCCUACAAGCUGAUGGAGCUCUUCGGAGUGACAUCGUACCUUUUGUAUAAUGGGUCAGCGACUUAGUGUUGCGUGCAAGCUUAAGCCGAUAGGUGUAGGCACAGCGAAAGCGAGUCUUAAUAGGGCGACUGAGUUCGAGGGAUGAGACCCGAAGCCGGGUGAUCUAGCCAUGAGCAGGUUGAAGGUGCAGUAACAUGCACUGGAGGACCGAACCCACGUCUGUUGAAAAAGACGGGGAUGACCUGUGGUUAGGGGUGAAAGGCCAAUCAAACUCGGAAAUAGCUGGUUCUCCGCGAAAUCUAUUUAGGUAGAGCGUCACGAUUAGACUCUGGGGGGUAGAGCACUGAAUGGGCUAGGGGUCCUCACCGGAUUACCAAACCUUCUCAAACUCCGAAUACCCAGAAGUUAUGCGUGGCAGACACACGGCGGGUGCUAACGUCCGUCGUGAAAAGGGAAACAACCCAGACCGCCAAUUAAGGCCCCUAAGUAAUAGCUAAGUGCGAAACGAUGUGGAGGUGCUGAGACAAUCAGGAGGUUGGCUUAGAAGCAGCCAUCCUUUAAAGA